UGGGGAAUAUUGCACAAUGGGCGAAAGCCUGAUGCAGCAACGCCGCGUGAGUGAUGAAGGCCUUCGGGUUGUAAAGCUCUGUCUUCUGGGACGAUAAUGACGGUACCAGAGGAGGAAGCCACGGCUAACUACGUGCCAGCAGCCGCGGUAAUACGUAGGUGGCAAGCGUUGUCCGGAUUUACUGGGCGUAAAGGAUGCGUAGGCGGAUACUUAAGUCAGAUGUGAAAAUCCCGGGCUUAACUUGGGAACUGCAUUUGAAACUGGGUAUCUAGAGUGCGGGAGAGGAAAGUGGAAUUCCGAGUGUAGCGGUGAAAUGCGUAGAGAUUAGGAAGAACACCAGUGGCGAAGGCGACUUUCUGGACCGUAACUGACGCUGAGGCAUGAAAGCGUGGGGAGCAAACA
rnacentral:rRNA from 1 species